rnacentral:rRNA from 1 species
CGAGGGGGAGCCAAUCCCAGAAAACCGGUCGUAGUCCGGAUCGCAGUCUGCAACUCGACUGCGUGAAGUCGGAAUCGCUAGUAAUCGCGGAUCAGCUUGCCGCGGUGAAUACGUUCCCGGGUCUUGUACACACCGCCCGUCACACCAUGGGAGCGGGUUCUGCCAGAAGUAGUUAGCCUAACCGUAAGGAGGGCGAUUACCACGGCAGGGUUCGUGACUGGGGUGAAGUCGUAACAAGGUAGCCGUAUCGGAAGGUGCGGCUGGAUCACCUCCUUUCUG